CACGCAAAUACUGAAACUUCCUUUAAAAGCCACGCGCGGCCGCGCGUUGACUAGAAUCGUGCAGCAGAAGCCCGAGAGGUACGAGAGGUACGAGAGUAUUUCCACUGGCCCUACUCGCCUCGCCACAGCACGGUUGAAGAAGCGUUUCCACUACUGCAGUACCUGAUAGCAGGUGCUAUUUUUAGAAGAGAAGAAGAGAUGACCGACACGGAACAAAACUUGACGGAUCAAGCCGAACAGCGCCGAACUGUAGGCUGCUGUUUGCAGUUGAGUGAGUUAAACAUCUGUGUAUUCCCUGCACACGUCAUUGUUCACUCACUCUUUUAGCGUCAGCAGCUCAGUAUCACUGACUUUCAAUUGACUUCCAAUCUGUGACUCAUUCCAGAGGCUGGGUGAGGAGACGCAUGUGUUCACGUCAAACACGGUGGUUUCAUGGAGACCAAAUCCUGGUUCCAAUGAGGUAUUACUACUUCCUCACAAGGUCCACCAGUGUCCAGCAGGUGUCAGAAACCCUCCAGUUAUAGGCAAAGUAAAACAUUUCUCAUUGAAAGAUGAGUUUCUACUUCUGUCAAAUUUGUUCCAGAAUAAUAGGUGACAUUUCAAAGAAAUAUAAAAACAACUUAAAGAAAAACCCUGGUUAAAUGUACAGAUCAUAUUGACCAUGAACCAAUAAAUAUCAAACGCAAAUGUACUUGUCUGAGAUACGAAACAAUACAGACAAAGAUUGUCUAGAUUUACUGUUUUGAUAUGUAUGUGAUAUUAUUUGCAACUCAUAUACAGAUAAUAAGAAGGCACAUACAAAUUCCACAUUUAAUCAGUAAGUAAUUGUUCACUAACUAGAAAAUAAAAAAUAU